UAACACAUGCAAGUCGGACGAGAUCUUCGGAUCUAGUGGCGGACGGGUGAGUAACGCGUGGGAACGUGCCCUUUGCUACGGAAUAGUCCCGGGAAACUGGGUUUAAUACCGUAUACGCCCUUCGGGGGAAAGAUUUAUCGGCAAAGGAUCGGCCCGCGUUGGAUUAGGUAGUUGGUGGGGUAAUGGCCUACCAAGCCGACGAUCCAUAGCUGGUUUGAGAGGAUGAUCAGCCACACUGGGACUGAGACACGGCCCAGACUCCUACGGGAGGCAGCAGUGGGGAAUCUUAGACAAUGGGGGAAACCCUGAUCUAGCCACGCCGCGUGAGCGAUGAAGGCCUUAGGGUUGUAAAGCUCUUUCGCUGGGGAAGAUAAUGACGGUACCCAGUAAAGAAGCCCCGGCUAACUCCGUGCCAGCAGCCGCGGUAAUACGGAGGGGGCUAGCGUUGUUCGGAAUUACUGGGCGUAAAGCGCGCGUAGGCGGAUUGGAAAGUUGGGGGUGAAAUCCCGGGGCUCAACCCCGGAACUGCCUCCAAAACUAUCAGUCUGGAGUUCGAGAGAGGUGAGUGGAAUUCCGAGUGUAGAGGUGAAAUUCGUAGAUAUUCGGAGGAACACCAGUGGCGAAGGCGGCUCACUGGCUCGAUACUGACGCUGAGGUGCGAAAGUGUGGGGAGCAAACAGGAUUAGAUACCCUGGUAGUCCACACCGUAAACGAUGAAUGCCAGACGUCGGG
rnacentral:rRNA from 1 species